GAUGAACGCUGGCGGCGUGCCUAAUACAUGCAAGUCGAGCGAACAGACGAGGAGCUUGCCCCUCUGACGUUAGCGGCGGACGGGUGAGUAACACGUGGAUAACCUACCUAUAAGACUGGGAUAACUUCUGGAAACCGGAGCUAAUACCGGAUAAUAUAUUGAACCGCAUGGUUCAAUAGUGAAAGACGGUUUUGCUGUCACUUAUAGAUGGAUCCGCGCCGCAUUAGCUGGUGGGUAAGGUAACGGCUUACCAAGGCAACGAUGCGUAGCCGACCUGAGAGAGGGAUCGGCCACACUGGAACUGAGAGACGGUCCAGACUCCUACGGGAGGCAGCAGUAGGGAAUCUUGCGCAAUGGGCGAAAGCCUGACGGAGCAACGCCGCGUGAGUGAUGAAGGUCUUCGGAUCGUAAAACUCUGUUAUUAGGGAAGAACAAAUGUGUAAGUAACUAUGCACGUCUUGACGGUACCUAAUCAGAAAGCCACGGCUAACUACGUG
rnacentral:rRNA from 1 species